GGAAGAGACAGCUUAUGCUCUCUGAUCCCCCUUAUAACACAGAUAGAAAUGAAAUUGGGAUGUGUCAAAGUUAGAAUGGAUAAACAAUGAGGUCCCUACAGGGAACUCUAUCCAGUUUCUUGGGAUAGAAUGUGAUGGAAGAUAGUAAGAGAAAAAGUGUAUAUGUAUAUAUAUCUGGAUCACUAUGUUGUACAGCAGAAAUUGACAAAGCACUGUAAUUCAACUGUGCUGUAAUGAAACAAACAAACAAACAAAAACAAAUUUAUGGAUAUGGCUGCAUGAUCAAAAGAUUAUGGUGUCAGUGUGUCAAUUUCACCAGCUGGGAAUGGCUCAACAGUUCUCUCUGUUGGUUGACCCUGUGACAAUUUGUUUGCAAAAUUUACUCAAUAAUUCGUCUCACCUUUGCACACUCAACUCUUUGAAAUGGGACAUUGCCCCUUCUUCCAUCAAAAGGACUUCACUGUUUCUCUCCUCCUUGCCUCUGGACCUGGUAAUAUAACUCUUUUGGGCCCCUGGGACAUUAGUGAACAUGGUCUAAGCAGAGGCUUGAAAAGUGCAGACACACUGGGAUUUGCACCCUCCUGCUGCUGGGACCUAUUCUGCCGCCAUAUGAACACGCUUCAAUGAGCUACUGAUGGUGAGUGAUCACUUGAAGAAGUUGAAGGGUCUCAGGCAAAUCUUCAGAAAUUCAACUGAGGUUAUCCGUGGUCAUUCAGCCUUAAACCCAAAGCACUGCCCAACAAACCCAGGGAAUCGUAGAAAUAAUAUUGAUGUGGGAAUCCACUGUUUUUGAGCAAUUAAUUAUGCAGCAGAAGUUAGCUUACAUUGAUCGAAGCCUGAAUGUAACUCAGUGCCACAGUAAAUCGAUGGAGAUGCCAGAAGUCACUUGUCUAUCCCCUCCCGAGGUCCUUGGAAAGGGUCCGAAUGACAAUUCCCUCAAGAAGGCGUGAAAAAAAAACUUUGUGAAGGGAGGCUUGGCAUUCUUUGAAAGCUCUGUAGUGACUUUGCUGUGAAAGUUGAGAAUGAAGGCAGAAGAUGCUGCAGUUGAAAUGCUCUUCCUCCAGGAUAGCAGACACCACAAAACAUUUGCCUACCGGAGAUCAACAUGGGAAGCAGAGUUGAAGCGGUAAUAAUGAUUUGACUUUCCGAAAUCUUUGACAUUUAACUGAUCAUGGUUCCCUAAGAAUCAAUAGAUGAAAGACUAUAAAAGUCUUCCUUGAUAUGCAUAAAUAGAAAUACUUUAGGUCUUGGUUCGAGUCAUAACAUCAGGGAUUUAUGGUGAUGAUUUUUAUCACUUUCUCCAGGUUAGUCUAUGCAGGAGAGAGUUCUUGGAAAGAAAGCGUAGAUGUAUUGUCAACUUCAUAAUAUAUUGAUACUAUUUGAAACUGCUGUUCCAGAUGUGUUCUCUACAAUGGAACAAAUCCCCAUAUCACCUUGCCUCUGAUAUGUAGCUAUUAAUUAGAAAUAUGUUCUUUUUGUCUAUUUCAAUUACAUUUGAAAUUGGUGAAUUUAGGCUAUUUGUAAAGAGCGUAUUUGGAUUUUUCCUUUGAUCUACCAUUUUUAAAAUUGGAGUAUAGCUGGUUUAUAGUGUUGUGUGAAUUUCUGCUCUACUUUUGUGUUUGUUCUCUCCAGUUUUGUUUCCCUGUGUUCCUUGCUUGCCUUCCUCUGGGUUACUUCAACAUUUCCUAGAAUCCCAUCUUGAUUUAUUUAUAUGUCUUUUGAAUGUGAGUGUAUCUCUUUGUAUAUAGCCUUUUUAAUGGGUGCUGUAGAUAUUGCCUUGUAUAUACACCAUUUAUCACAAUGUACUGUUGUCAUCAUUUCACUAGUUCGAGUGAAGGACCUCUCUUUAUAUCCCUUCGAUAUCCUCAUCUGGGGUGUAAAUUUCUUCCAUAUUUCCCCACGUAAUCUUAGAACCAUAUCAGAUAGGGUUAAAAUUUUUACUUCAACCAUCAAACAUAAUUUAGAAAAUGCAAGAGGAGUGGAGAAGGAGAAAAACAUAUGGUAUUUACACGUAUUUUUACUUAUAAUGGUCUUUCUUUCUGAUGUUCCAAAGUUCCUUGUUGUAUCAUAUUCUUUCCAUUUAGAGAAUUAUUGUUCUUUUAGGGCAGGCCAACUGGUGAAAAAUUUGUUUUCCAUCAUCUGAGAAUGUCCUGGUUUUCCUUUUCUUCCUGAAGGGUAUUUCUACUGGUUAUAAGAUUCUGGAUUGAGUAUUCUUUUCUUUCAACUCUUGGAAAAUGUUUUGCCACUUAUGUCUGACUUGUUUAGUUUCUGAUAUGAAAUUUAUUGUCAUUCCAAUUGUUUUUCCCAAUUAAAAAAAGUGUCAUUUUAUUGUGGCUAUUUUCAAUAUUUUUUUUCUUUGGCUUUCAUUUUCAGAACUUUACUUAUCAUGUCAUGGCAUGGAUUUCUUUGGAUUUAUUCUUUUUGGUGCUCAUUCAGCUUAUUGACUCCUAGUUUACAUCUCUUGCCAAAUCUGCAAAUUUCUCAGCCAGCAUUUGAGUGCUUUUUUUCCACUUCUCUUUCUGUGACUAUGGUGACAUGCAUGUUAAAUCUUUUGUUAUAGUCUCACAGGUCUCUGAGGUUCUAUUAAUUUUAUUUUCACUCCAGUUAAAACUGGGUAAUUUAUUUGGUUCCAGUUCAUUGAGUUUUUCCUUUGUCCCCUGAAUUCUGUUAUUGAGCUCAUUCAAAUAAGCUUUUUAUUUCCAUUAUUGUAUUUUUCCGUUGUAAAGUUUCCAUUUGGUUCUUCCUUACGUCUUCUGUUCUUUUGUUCAGACUUCCUAUUUUUUUCAUUGGUUUCAAGCGUCCUUGUAACCGCUCAUUGAAGCAUUUCUUACAGUAUCUGUUUUGACAUCUUUGACAGAUAAUUCAUCUCAGAUUGACUUUUUCUCAUUUAGUUUGAGAUCUUCCUGUUUCCUGCCAUGAUGGGUGAUUUUUUUUUCAACUGAAACCUGGACCUUUUAUGUAUUAUGAGAUUGUGGAUCUUAUUUAAAACUUCUUUUUAAACUGGUUUCUUCUAACACAGCUCUGGCAGGAAAAGAGGCUGCAUCACCUUGUUACUGCCAGGUGGAGAGAAAAAUCCAGAUUUCCCAGUCCCCACUGACAAUAAAAACAGAGGCUCCUUGUUACUGCUGGGAUGAGGAUGGUAGUUCCAGGGCCCCUCCUGGUCUCUACUGACACAAUGGAUGGUGGCAGGAGUGGAGAUGAAGUCCUGGCUCCUUACUUGGCAUCCUCAGACCCUAUCCUGUGGGAUGGAUGUAGCCUUGGGUGUGGGAGUAGCUAGUCUUCCCACUCAGCCUUUGCCGGCAAGGGUUGUUGUAAGGCCACUUUUGAUUUUUCUGCAGUGUUUAACUGGAGAAGAAUAGUUAUGGCCUAAAUGUUUUCUGCCUUAUGAGGCUACCCCUUUCCUGAUUCGUUGGCAAGAGGAAGCCAAAGAAUGGUCUGUACCAUUUUUUUGGUCUGUACUUAUUGUUUUUUUCCUGUUUGUUUGUUUGUUUGUUUUAGGCCCGCACCUGUAGCAUAUGGAAGUUCCCAGGCUAGAGGGCUGAAUCAGAGCUGCAGCUGCUGGCCUACACCACAGCCACAGCAGUUUGGGAUCUGAGCUGUGUCUGUGACCUACACCACAGCUCAUGGCAAUGCCGAAUCCUUAACCCACUGAUCGAGGCCAGGGAUCAAACCUGCAUCCUCAUGGUUCCUGGUCAGGUUCCUUACCGUUGAGCCAUGAUGGGAACUCCUUAUUGGUAUUUUUGAAUGGGUGAUUCUUCCUUCUUUUCUCCACCUUUUAGAAUCUUCUUUUGUCUUUUUUUUUUUUUUUAGGGCUGCACCCACGGCAUAUGGAGGUUCCCAGGCUAGGGGUCUAAUCAGAGCUGUAGCUGCCAGCCUACACCAUAGCCACAGCAAGCAACCCAGGAUCCUUAACCACUGAGUAAGGCCAGGGAUCAAACCCGCAUCCUCAUGGAUACUACUCAGGUUCAUUAACCACUGAACCAAGAUGGGAAUUCCUAGAAUCUUCUUACAUAUGUUUUUAUAUACAGUAUCCUGGAUCUUUAGUUAUACUUAGGGGGAGAGAUUGAGAAAAGUGCUUCUGUUCCAUCUUUCCAUAAGUCUCUUUCUAUUUUGUUCCAUAAAAACCACCAGAAAUCAUUCGUGGUAACUGAUAGGGGUCUUUCAGGCAUCAUAUAGCCUGAAGGGGUAUUGACUAUUUCCCCAUAUGGGUAUCACACCUGUUGACUAUAUUAAUGGCAUCUGGUAAGUGAAUGUGGGAUGCUUGUUUCACUACAUACAUAAAUCAGAAAGUGGAAGAUAAACCCCUGAGUAUCCUAAAGGCUGACACUUGAAGAUUCUGAGGACUAGAUUGGGAACAAGUCAAAAAAAUCACCUCCAACACGGAAAAGAGGAAACUCUACACUUUGUGCCCAGUCACUAAGAAAAAGGCACAAUGUCUGAUGGGUCUCUCUGAAGUUUACAGAUAACACACACCUCAUUUGAAUCUACCCCUGGGACUCAUUUACUGAAUAACCUGUAAUGCUGUCAGUUUUAGGGAAUUAUAGCAUAAGAGAAAGUGCUGCAGUUAUUCCAGGCUUUGGUAAAAGUUGCUCUUCUAUUUGGGUUUUAUGAUUCAGCAGACUCAGUGGAAGCUGAAGUCCAGUGGUUAGUGAUGCUGUGUGGAGUCUCUGGCAAGCCGCAAUACGAGAAGCCACAAUAAGAGAACCUAAAUAGUGAUUCCCUAAGAUUUUUGGAGUAAUGCCAUAGACCCUUAAGCAAACACCAGUUUCCUUUUGAGAAACAGGUCUUGUCUUGCUGCUGGGUCUUGGAUGAAGAUUCACUCCCUGAUCAUGAUAUUACAAGUGGUUGCGUAACUUGAGCUGCUCAGCAUGACCUUGGUGUUAUCUGAUGCCCUAAAUCAAAAGCUGGGCAUACGCAGUAGGACUCUAUAAUGAACUUGAAGUGGUUGAGCAGAUUCAAAAAGUAACUAAGCUUACGAGCAUAUUGCGUGAACAGAUGACUCAGACAAUCAUAAUAGCUACUCUUCAUUUUUACUUCUCUCUGGAUGCACUCAUGGGAAAUUCUUCAAGGUGAGUUGAUUGAGAAAG
rnacentral:lncRNA from 1 species